rnacentral:rRNA from 1 species
GUGGGGAAUAUUGCACAAUGGGGGAAACCCUGAUGCAGCAACGCCGCGUGAGUGAUGAAGGUCUUCGGAUCGUAAAGCUCUGUCUUCAGGGACGAUAAUGACGGUACCUGAGGAGGAAGCCACGGCUAACUACGUGCCAGCAGCCGCGGUAAUACGUAGGUGGCGAGCGUUGUCCGGAUUUACUGGGCGUAAAGGGAGCGUAGGCGGAUUUUUAAGUGAGAUGUGAAAUACCCAGGCUCAACCUGGGGGCUGCAUUUCAAACUGGAAGUCUAGAGUGCAGGAGAGGAGAGUGGAAUUCCUAGUGUAGCGGUGAAAUGCGUAGAGAUUAGGAAGAACACCAGUGGCGAAGGCGACUCUCUGGACUGUAACUGACGCUGAGGCUCGAAAGCGUGGGGAGCAAACAGGAUUAGAUACCCGGGUAGUCC